rnacentral:rRNA from 1 species
UGGGGAAUAUUGGACAAUGGGGGCAACCCUGAUCCAGCCAUGCCGCGUGAGUGAUGAAGGCCCUAGGGUUGUAAAGCUCUUUCAGCGAGGAGGAUAAUGACGUUACUCGCAGAAGAAGCCCCGGCUAACUUCGUGC